CACAUUGGACUGACAUUUCCCAAUGAGAUGUUUUUCCCUUGUGCUUUGACAGAAGUUUAACAGCUGGUCCUAGAUUCUGUUUUCUUCUUUGUGGUGACCACUGAGAAAUUUUCACUUAGUUUUGUUCAUAUCAGGCAUGUAUAAAUGUUUUACAGAUCCCUGUUUAAAUUAAAAAUACAUGAGGCCGUGUAUUGGGCCUAGCUUGACAUUCACAUACCCAAGAGUUUUAAAUCAAAGUCUGGCUUGUGAAAACUCAAGAUGAAUAUUUUAUUAACGUUUGAUCUUCUCGAGGUUAUAUAAAGGUGAAGGAAUUGAAUGUGUCACUUUUGCGUGCCAAUUAUCCGAUUCACCUCUCGAAGCAUUUUCUCCUCUUGUGGCUUUCUUUCCCGGCCAAGGGCUUCCUAAAAAAAAAUACAUCUGAAUGUGUUUUUCAUUCUCUUGACAAUCUGGUAUGGCUAACAAUGGUUAAGCACACCUUCAGUACUCCUUGACAACCUACUGUGGGAAAGUUAACACAUUACACGGCACAGAAGAUGAGAAGGGGGUGCAAGAUGGCCCCCUUGAUGGGCUCCCUGUCUGGGAGGGAGCAUAUGGCAAGUGCAGAAGCAAAUAAUGCAGGACAGAGAAGGCCUUGCGGAGGGACUGGAGAGGUGACUUCUCUGGGAGUCGAUAGAAGGAAGAGCUGGCUUCCAGCUGACUGUGUUAAAAAAAAUGGUUUCAGAGGCUGUGGCACCUGAGUUGUGUACCAAGUAGGGUGGAGUUUGGACUUGAAGAAAUGGGAGAAUAAUGUAGUGAAAAUGUAAUGGAAGGAAAUGGGGAGACUUAACCCAUACUUCUCCGUGGUUUCUUUUUCCCCCAAAUUACGGUUCUAGGAAUCCCAGAUUGUCUAGGACUGUCCUAACAUUAUCAUGAUAUUGUUUACCAUGCAGAUAAGUAAGAUAUAUAGCUUAACAAGAGCUGGUUCAUACUCUUGAUACAGGAUUUGGGAAAUUCCUGUGCUGUGAGUUCACAAAACAGUGACCUUAGCUUGUUCUUGGGUAUUGAAAGGACUGGGUAAGUUCUGGAGG